rnacentral:rRNA from 1 species
AAUAGAUACCCUGGUAGUCCACGCCGUAAACGAUGAGUGCUGAGUGUUAGGGGGUUUCCGCCCCUUAGUGCUGCAGCUAACGCAUUAAGCACUCCGCCUGGGGAGUACGGUCGCAAGACUGAAACUCAAAGGAAUUGACGGGGGCCCGCACAAGCGGUGGAGCAUGUGGUUUAAUUCGAAGCAACGCGAAGAACCUUACCAGGUCUUGACAUCCCAUUGACCACUAUGGAGACAUAGUUUUCCCUUCGGGGACAACGGUGACAGGUGGUGCAUGGUUGUCGUCAGCUCGUGUCGUGAGAUGUUGGGUUAAGUCCCGCAACGAGCGCAACCCUUGUUCUUAGUUGCCAUCAUUUAGUUGGGCACUCUAAGGAGACUGCCGGUGACAAACCGGAGGAAGGUGGGGAUGACGUCAAAUCAUCAUGCCCCUUAUGACCUGGGCUACACACGUGCUACAAUGGACGGUACAAACGGUUGCCAACCCGCGAGGGGGAGCUAAUCCGGAUAAAACCGUUCUCAGUUCGGAUUGUAGGCUGCAACUCGCCUAC